rnacentral:misc_RNA from 1 species
AAAGUCGUAACAAGGUCUCCGUUGGUGAACCAGCGGAGGGAUCAUUACAGAGUUGCAAAACUCCCUAAACCAUCGCGAACCCACCCCUAAACAGUUGCUUCGGCGGCGCCCGAAGGCCCUCACCGGCCGGAGCGCCCCGCCGGGGACCCCCCAAACUCUUGUUUUUAACAAAAUGGCCUCUCUGAGUACUGUACUUUAAUAAGUCAAAACUUUCAACAACGGAUCUCUUGGUUCUG